UACGUAGGGGGCAAGCGUUGUCUGGAUUUAUUGGGCGUAAAGAGCGUGUAGGCGGUUUGGUAGGUCCGUUGUGAAAACUCGAGGCUCAACCUCGAGACGCCGAUGGAAACCAUCAGACUAGAGUCCGGAAGAGGAGAGUGGAAUUCCUGGUGUAGCGGUGAAAUGCGUAGAGAUCAUGAGGAAGACCAGUGGCGAAGGCGGGUCUCUGGACAGUUCCUGACACUGAGGCACGAAGGCCAGGGGAGCAAACGGG
rnacentral:rRNA from 1 species